GGGAAACCGGGUCUAAUACCGGAUACGACCACCGAACGCAUGUUCGGUGGUGGAAAGUUUUUCGAUCGGGGAUGGGCUCGCGGCCUAUCAGCUUGUUGGUGGGGUAAUGGCCUACCAAGGCGACGACCAGCGGGUAGCCGGCCUGAGAGGGCGACCGGCCACACUGGGACUGAGACACGGCCCAGACUCCUACGGGAGGCAGCAGUGGGGAAUAUUGCACAAUGGGGGAAACCCUGAUGCAGCGACGCAGCGUGCGGGAUGACGGCCUUCGGGUUGUAAACCGCUUUCAGCAGGGAAGAAGCGAAAGUGACGGUACCUGCAGAAGAAGUACCGGCUAACUACGGUGCCAGCAGCCGCGGUAAUACGUAGGGUACGAGCGUUGUUCCGGAAUUAUUGGGCGUAAAGAGCUCGUAAUCCGGUGGUUGGUCACGUCUGCUGUGGAAACGCAACGCUUAACGUUGCGCGUGCAGUGGGUACGGGCUGACUAGAGUGCAGUAGGGGAGUCUGGAAUUCCUGGUGUAGCGGUGAAAUGCGCAGAUAUCAGGAGGAACACCGGUGGCGAAGGCGGAGACUCUGGGCUGUAACUGACACUGAGGAGCGAAAGCAUGGGGAGCGAACAGGAUUAGAUACCCUGGUAGUCCAUGCCGUAAACGUUGGGCACUAGGAAU
rnacentral:rRNA from 1 species